rnacentral:rRNA from 1 species
AUGGAGAAGGCAAGCCUCGAGGAAGCGCUCCUCCCGAGGAGCCUGGUGUGCAAGGAGCUCGGAGGGGAUGAGAGCCUGGCGGUGGGCGACGAGGUGAAGCGGCAGCUGUGGCUGGCCGGGCCGCUCAUCGCCGGCUGCCUGAUGCAGAACCUCAUCCAGAUGAUCUCCGUCAUGUUCGUUGGCCACCUCGGCGAGCUGCCCCUCGCCGGCGCCUCCAUGGCCAGCUCCUUCGCCGCCGUCACUGGAUUCAGCCUGCUGCUUGGCAUGGCAACUGCAUUGGACACUCUAUGCGGACAAGCAUUUGGCGCGAGGCAAUACCACCUCCUUGGCAUCUACAAGCAACGCGCAAUGGUGGUGCUCACGGCCGCAAGCGUCCCGCUCGCCGUGGUGUGGUUCUACACCGGCGAGAUCCUGCUCCUGUUCGGGCAGGACCCUGACAUCGCCGCGGAGGCGGGCACGUACGCGCGGUGGAUGAUCCCGGCGCUCUUCGCCUUCGGCCUGCUGCAGUGCCACGUCCGGUUCCUGCAGACGCAGAACAUCGUGCUCCCGGUGAUGCUGAGCGCCGCCGCGACGGCGCUGUGCCACCUCGUCGUCUGCUGGCUGCUGGUGUACGUCCUCGGGCUGGGCAGCAAGGGCGCCGCGAUCGGCAACGCCGUCUCCUACUGGAUCAACGUGGUCAUCCUGGCCGUGUACGUGAGGGUGUCGAGCUCCUGCAAGAAGACAUGGACGGGGUUCUCCAUGGAGGCCUUCCAUGACCAGCUCGGCUUCUUCAGGCUCGCCGUGCCGUCGGCUCUCAUGGUCUGCUUGGAAUGGUGGUCGUUCGAGACCCUGGUGCUUCUUUCGGGGCUUCUUCCUAACCCCAAGCUGGAGACGUCUGUCCUGUCCAUCACCCUCAACACCGCCAACUGCUUGUUCAUGAUCCCCUACGGCCUCGGCGCCACCAUAAGCACCCGGGUUUCGAACGAGCUGGGCGCCGGCCGACCACGGGCUGCCCGCCUCGCCGUGCGCGUCGUCAUGUUCUUCGCCAUUUUGGAAGGAUUGGUCAUGGGCAUCGUCCUGGUGUCUGUGCGCCACGUCUGGGGCCAUGCUUACAGCGACGAGGAGGAGGUCGUCACGUACGUCGCCAAAAUGGUGCUGGUCAUUGCAGUCUCCAACUUCCUCGACGGCAUUCAGAGCGUUCUCUCAGGUGUGGCUAGAGGCUGUGGGUGGCAGAAGAUCUGCGCCUGCAUCAACCUUGGCGCGUUCUACGCCGUGGGCAUACCGGCGGCGUAUCUGCUCGCCUUCGUGCUGCACGUCGGCGGGAUGGGACUUUGGAUGGGAAUCAUCUUCGGUAUUCUGGUGCAGGUCUUGCUGUUCGUGGCCAUCACACUCUGCACCGACUGGCAGAAGGAGGCAACGAAGGCAAAGAACAGAGUCUUCACUUCUUCUCUUCCGACGGAUCUACUAGAGAAAUGA